rnacentral:pre_miRNA from 1 species
AUCUGCCUGUGUACGGAUGGUGGUCAGCACCAAGGACAGGUCUAUUUGCGUGUGUGUGGAUGGUGUUCAGUACCAGAGAUAUGUGUGUUUACCU